UCGAAAAUUUGAAUAAAAUUCUUUAAAUCGCAAUUAAAUUUUGAAAAAUUCGAAGAAAAUUUAAUGCAAAAAUGAAAUGAAAUUUUUAUGGCAACCCUGUUUAAGAAUUUUGAUAACUAAUUUGCUUAUAUAGGGAAUAUUUCUAUUAAUGAAUCUCUUGAAAUUCAGGAAAAUUCACUUGACAUUAAUUAAGUACAUAAUUGCGUUAAUAUUGAAAUAGAAUUUUCAAGAAAAAGAAAAACUAGUGAUUAUUAUGUGAUUUAAAUCAAUAGUGACAAAACAAUGUUUUGUUAAAAGAUUUUUUUGAGGCUUUUAUACAUUACUUUAUAUUAAUCAAGAAUAUUUUUUUUAUUUAUAUUAUACGUUUCUUUUUUCAUUUUUGAAAACAAUUUUUUUUUUAUUUCAUAUUAUAGUGAAAUAAAAAUUCAUUUAAAAAAGAAUUCUUCUUUUAAAUGAACAAUAUUUAGAUUCUAUUCCGAGAAAAUUAUUCUUCAAUUAAGCUUAAAAAUUGUGUAUUAAGAACAUUACCAUUUAUAACGAUUACAUUUUCAAAAUAGAAAAAAUAUUAUUUUUGAAAAAAGAAACUAAAUAUUUAUUUACAAAAUGCUUUUUAUUCAAAUAUCUGAUCGUUACAUUACAUGGUAGUGGACAUUUAGUUUUUGAGAGAAAAAUUUUUACAUUUUUAAUGUAAGAUUUUAAUGUUAAUAAAUUUUAGAUUAUUUGAAGUUUUAUUUGUAACUGUUCUCUUAUUUUAUUAAAUAAAUGUAACAAUGGAAAGUUAUAAUUAUCUCAUGUUUCUCUAUUUAUAAAACUAAGGAAUAAUUACUGUUAAUUAUAAAUUUAAAAAGAAAUUUUUAUGAUUAAAUAAAUUUUAUUUUGUGAAACAAAUUUUUAAUUUAUAGAAUAUUAAAUUUAAUUGUAUAAACAAAAUCUUUCUGCGAAAAAUUUUUCCUACUUUGAAGAUUCUCAAGGUGCUGCUUCAAUUUAGGAAUUAUCCUGGAAAUCUAUUUUGUUUUCUUGAGAUUGUGGAGACAAUUGACAAUUUUAAUAAAAAUACCUACCACUGUGGCUUUAUUAGAUGGAUCGAUACUUUUUUUUACAUCAGGAGCUAAUGACAAAUAUCUUAAAUUUAAACUUAUUAGUCUAUUAAUAAUAAAUAACUGAAAAUAAUGGUCGAAAUAGACGAAGAUGAUGUCAGUGUCAAAUGUCUUAGAGAAAAAAAGAAAAUUGAAUUUUUUGAAGAUAUUUUGCCAUAUAUUGGAGAUUUUGGAAAAUACCAAUUGUGCUUAUUGUUGAGUUUAUUACCAUUUGGAAUUUCAUUUGUCUCAGUUUUUAUUGCACCAUUAUUAAUAGUCGCAGUACCAGAAAAACAUUGGUGUAAAAUAAAUGAAUUAAUUGAUUUUAAUUUGACUCGAGAUGAAAGAAUUAAAUUAGCCAUUCCAGAAUCAAAUCAAUAUCCAUUUUAUAACAGAUGUCAUCAUAAGAAAUUAAAUUUUUCUAAAAUUAUCGCUGAAGUCGGAAAUGAUUUUAAUUCAAAAUUAUGGGAAACGAAUGAAACGGUGAAAUGUACCGAAUGGGAAUAUGAUUUUAGUUUGAUAUCGUAUCCAAGUAUUGGUGUUGAGAUGAAUUGGGUUUGUGAUGAAGAAUAUCGAAUAGCCACAUCGCAAGCGGUCUUUUUUAUUGGUACUUUAAUUGGUAAUUUUCUAUUUAGUUGGAUUUCCGAUUAUAAGGGCAGACUUUUGGCAUUAAAAGUUUCCACUACAUUCGCAUUUAUUGCUCUCAUUGGAAUGGCUAUUUCUCAUCAUUUCUGGUCAUUCACAUUAAGCAAAUUCAUAUUGGGUUUUUCGUUUGACAACAUUUUAACUAUUCCGUUGAUUUUAGCUAUGGAAUAUACGGCAGAAAAUAAGAGAUCAAUUAUUACAUGUUUUGGAUUUGGAUUCACUUUAAUGAGUGGAAAAUUGAUUUUAACUUGGUCUGCAUAUUUCCUUGGUAAUUGGAGAAUCUUCACAAUUUUAUGCUCCGUACCAGUUUUAAUUAGUUUUCUACUUACCUUCACAAUGCCUGAGAGUAUUCGAUGGUAUGCGUCGAAAGGUUAUCCUGACAAAGUUUUGAAAAAAUUGCACAGAAUUGCUAGAGUUAAUGGAAAAAAAUCUGAAAAUUGGAUGUACGAUGAACUUUUGAUGAACUUGAAACGAAAAAACAAGAAAGUCGAAAGUGUAAAUUUAUGGGAUCUCAGAAAAACUCCCCAUCUUGCUAGGAGUACAUUUCUCUUUUCGUUUAUUUUUGCUCUAACUAGUGUGAUAUUGGACACGAAUUUAUAUUAUUUACACCGAUAUGAAUUGUCCAUUUUUGUAUCAUUCACUUGGACCUGUCUUGAUACAUUGCUGGCAUUUUUAUUAUUUCAACUUUUGGUUAAUCGCCUGGGUCGUAGAUUUAUUGGAGCUUCGUUAUUAAUUUUUAUUGCAAUAGUCAGUUUUGUAUUUGUUUUUAUUGAAUCUGAAAUUGGGAAAAUUUUUAUGGCGUCCUUAGUUAGAAUUGGAAUGGAUUGCUUGGCUUGUUUGUUCACGCAAUAUGUUCCAGAAUUAUUUCCAACUCCUCUUAGGACACAAGAGAAGCGUUUGGAAAGAACUGCCGAUUUUAAUAGUUGCCAUUGUUGCAUUAUUCGCUGCAUUUUUAACCCUUUUUCUGCCUGAAACUGCUGGAAAAAAUUUACGUCAAACACUCGAAGAAGGAGAAAAAUUCUGCAAGGAGAAAAAGUUUUGGCCUAUUCUUAUUCUUCAGAAAUCGCAAAAAUAGUCAUCUAGUGGUAGCCUGGGCGAUUGGGGUUGAACAUCAGGAAAAUCAAAGAGAGCGCACACACAACCGGCGUAGAUUUUCAUUUUACUUCGCCGAUGAUGACCGUGAUAGACGUCAAUUAUUCUGUAAGUCUGGA